UACGUAGGGUGCAAGCGUUGUCCGGAAUUAUUGGGCGUAAAGAGCUCGUAGGCGGUUUGUCGCGUCUGCUGUGAAAACUCGGGGCUUAACUCCGGGCCUGCAGUGGGUACGGGCAGACUAGAGUGCGGUAGGGGAGACUGGAAUUCCUGGUGUAGCGGUGAAAUGCGCAGAUAUCAGGAGGAACACCGGUGGCGAAGGCGGGUCUCUGGGCCAGUAUUGACGCUGAGGAGCGAAAGCGUGGGUAGCAAACAGG
rnacentral:rRNA from 1 species